AAUCCAGAAAUAUCUUUAUUAAGAUUAUAGUGAUCAUUUCAGAAAGAAGCAGAAUGGUGCAAUCAGAAGGCAGGCACCCAUCAAAGGAAAUUGAGGGUGAAUCGUAAGAAAAAUCCAUAAAAUAAUCAUGGUCUGCAACCAAGGCAUAUGUGACUGCUCCAAUUCCUGAACCUUCUACAUUCCAUGAGCACCAACAAAAAUCAACACGUUCAUACCACCAAAGC
rnacentral:lncRNA from 1 species